CGAGUAAAUCAGGCAGUUGCGGGCAAUGCGCGAAAGCGUCUGUCCGAGGAAAGUCCGGGCUCCAUAGAGCAAGAAUAACGGCUAACGGCCGCCGGGGGCGACCCUAGGGAUAGUGCAACAGAAAUAUACCGCCACUUUGUGGUAAGGAUGGAAAGGCGAGGUAAGAGCUCACCGGGGUUGGGGAGACCCAACUGCCAUGUAAACCCUAUUCGGAGCAACACCGUGGUAAGACAUAUUUGCCUGCUCGGCAAGUCUUUUGGAGGUGGCACUGAGCUGUUGCGGUAACGCACAGCCAAGAUAGAUGACUGCCAGAUACAGAACCCGGCUUAUAGAUUUAGUCGCUUU
rnacentral:RNase_P_RNA from 1 species